rnacentral:rRNA from 1 species
AUUGAACGCUGGCGGCAGGCCUAACACAUGCAAGUCGAGCGGGGUUUUCGGACCUAGCGGCGGACGGGUGAGUAAUGCGUAGGGAGCUGCCCGAUAGAGGGGGAUACCAGUUGGAAACGACUGUUAAUACCGCAUAAUGUCUACGGACCAAAGUGUGGGACCUUCGGGCCACAUGCUAUCGGAUGCACCUACGUGGGAUUAGCUAGUUGGUGGGGUAACGGCUCACCAAGGCGACGAUCCCUAGCUGGUUUGAGAGGAUGAUCAGCCACACUGGAACUGAGACACGGUCCAGACUCCUACGGGAGGCAGCAGUGGGGAAUAUUGGACAAUGGGGGCAACCCUGAUCCAGCCAUGCCGCGUGUGUGAAGAAGGCCUUCGGGUUGUAAAGCACUUUCAGCGAGGAGGAAGGGUGAUGUUUUAAUAGAGCAUCAUUUUGACGUUACUCGCAGAAGAAGCACCGGCUAACUCUGUGCCAGCCGCCGCAGUAACAC